rnacentral:lncRNA from 1 species
GUAUUCUGCACGGACUGCUGGGCAGCACUAGCACUCUGGAGAAGGUCUGCCGCUGUCUGCACUUUCCUGGUUCUAUGCAGGCAGAUGAGUGUCACAGCUGUAACUGAGGCACAGAGCAGUACACACAGUGGAGCCGAUUUCCGCGAUGGCGAGAGGGGGCACCGGAGGUGACAACAAUAACAAGACUGUCCUUCGGACAAGUUUUAGGAAGAAUGACUUGGGCAAUACCAAAUGUUGAGUUAUCAAGUAUUUCGAUACCCAUAUGCAUCAUCUGCUAUUCUCAGGAUGAUGGAGUGAGUGAUGGAAUAGGUUGCCAACUGUAGUUACUCCACUCAGCACAGAAUGGCUGCGGGGAAAUAUAAUCAGACAUGCCCAAAGAAGUCUGCUUAGGGUGAAACAAAUACCUUUGAGGUUUAAAUCAGAAAGGAAGGAGAGACUGUUUCUACAGGUGUCAUACAAAAAUCAAUACUGAGCCAAGGAUUAUUGGAUCCCAUAGAACCACGGAGACUUGGUAGUGAAAUUCUUCCAAAGCAUUCCAUCCGUGCAGGCAGAUGGUGUUCCUAGGUUUGGAAAUAUAAAUCCCAUGGGAAGUCAGCUGAAGACCAUUUUAUGCAUCACUCAUCCUGUUAGAGCCCUGUGCUGUUCUGUCUCUCUAUAAGACUGGCUGAAACCACCACGGUUGUUUACAAUUUAUGCUCUAACUUUGGAUCACCUAGUUAAUACUCUAACUCCGAUUAUUACCAAAGACAAUGUUCUAUAAAAGAUAUUGUCUAUUAGAAGGAUGCUUCUGCAUUAUUAAUAAAAUCACAGGGAAAAUGCAACAUUUUGGAUGUCACAUCUGAUAAGUUGGCAGUUAAAGAACAGAAACAGCAAUAAGACUGCGUGGCUACAUUUUCCCAGUGCCACCAACUGGGAUUUAAGCUGACUAACAUUUUGAAAGCCCAGCCCAUUUCAUUCACAGCAGGAUGGCAGUGGGUGACUGAUCGUACCCGCCAGCUGGCUAAUGUCAUAAUUAACAAAGUUGCUACUACAUCUGCAAAGUUUAAUCGAAAAAUUUGCCAGUGAUAUGAUGGCCUUGUCACAGAGAUCACAAGGGACACGGAGUUGACUUUUGCUCAAGGUGGAACGACAGAGCUGUGUAGGCAAGAUGAGAAAUUGCGAACUUGUUCGGCCAAAGGAGGCUAAUAAUGAAGGGGCCGGGAAGGAGGCCAGUGCUACCAGGGUUAUCUCACAACCUCAGAUGCUGGAUAAGUCGACGGAGGCAGAAUCGCUUUGGGAUGACAUUCAGAAAGCCUGGAGUGAUUACUUGCAAGAGAAAAGCCUACCUAUUCUUUCCAAGGUGCAGGAAUAUUCCCCUGACCUGCUCAUCCAGUGGUCCAGUAAUGAAUUACUGGAGACCUGCCUUAGACAAAGAAUGCACUCGGAGCCCCAACACACCUAAAGCCAUGCUUUGAAGGAUCUGCCAAGCUCACUUUUAAUCAUGAGAAAGAAAUUACCCACACGGAGUCAGCAGAAAAUGAGAAAGUAGAGCUCGUGCUGUGAAUAAUUCCAGCAAGUGCCAAGGGGCUAGUUGAGGAAUGGCUUCAUGAGAUGUUAGUCUAAAACAGCACCUUGGAUCUAAGCAGCACCUUUGAGAAAGAAAAGACUGCUUCAAGAAUGUCUAGUUGCACCUCCUUUCCGUAUGUGGCCUAAAUGCCUAGGUUGGAUCAAUAGUUUAAUUUUUUUAUUGAACUGUUUAAUAUUGACUAUGGACUUACAUUCACUUUUACUGUUUUCUGUAUAUUUACUUUUGCUUGAAGUGUUUUAAUAUUGACUAUUUACCUCUGCUCAUUUUUAUUGAUUUUCUGUAUUUUUUCAAUGAAAAUUAUAAUAAAAAUUAUUUUUGUUA